rnacentral:lncRNA from 1 species
AAUCUUUGCAGGUCUGUUUCUGUAGCUUAUUGUUACGCUGCCUCUUUCUCAUGUGAUUUGUUUAAAAUGUUAAAAAAUUAGUAGCUCAUAGUCCUUAGAACUUGACCUGUGGGAAUUCUUUGAGAUCCUAUUUUAAAAUGCAUUCUUCCAGAGGAUCUGUAAUUGUUUAUGCCAAACACCUAGGGAAACUACCAAUCUGAGACUACUUAAAAUUAAAUUUUAGCUUCAGUGGUUUUAAAUUCAUACAGAUAAUAUGCUUUCUAGCCCCAAAUAUGCAUACAUAUGGGCUAUGGUCAGAAAUUCUCAAAGGAGAAAUGUUUUUCCUAUUUAUUUUGCUAUCAACAGACCAAAACUCAGACAGGCACAUUUCCCUAUUUCCUUUCUUAUGGGACAGAUUUCAUCCUAGCUCAUCCACUGAGAGUUUCCUGGAUUUACUCUAGGUCUCUGGUCCAACAUUUCACAUUUGCUGCGUUCCAAGCCUUUCCUUUUGAAUGCCAUAUUGGCAACUGUUAAAACCCAGGUUCUAGAACACUACGAGCAGCAGUCACAUGCCUCAGUUACAUAACCAGCGUGAGAGUGUCUGUCUAUAGGAGCUACUGGCCUGCACUCGUAUCUGGCCUCCACAAAUUCCUGUAACUUUACUAGAAGGUCAGUUAUGCUUUAAAAAAAGCCUUUAAAAAAUAUUCAUUCCACAAUCCCAAGAGUACUGUACUGGGAAGAGUUUCUCCCAACAUAUAAACAAAAAAAUUGAAAUCUGUGAUGGUCAAUUUUAUGUGCCAAUUUGACCAAGCUAAGAGGUGCCCAGAUGGCUAGUAAAAUAUUAUUUCCAGGUAUCUGUGAUGGUGUUCCCAGAAAAGAAUAGCAUUUGAAUCAGUCCACUGAGCAAAGAAGAUUGCCCUCACCAAUGUGGGCAAGUGUUCCAAUCUGCUGAGAGCCCAGACAGAACAAAAAGGCAGAAGAAAGGCAAAUUCACUCUUUCUCUCUUCUGGAGCAGGGACAUUCAUCUUCUGCCCUCAGACAUCAGAGCUCCUGGUUCUCAGGCUUUUGGAUGAAGAGACUUACACCAACAGCUCCUUUUCUUCCUGUUCUCAGGCUUCUGGACUCAAAAUGAAUUACAUCACUGGCUUUCCUAGUUCUCCAGCUUGCAGAUGGCAGAUCAUGCGACUCCUCAGCUUCCAAAAUCAUAUGAGCAAACUAUGGAUAAUGGAAUGACUACGGAUACUUUCUCAAGUGGAGCAGAAGUGCCUGGUCAAACUAAGCCUCCUCUUCUGACCUUCAGGCCCAGUGCAUGGAGUGGUAACCCAGCUGUCUUUUAUAGGACCUCUGGCAAAAGAGAAUACCAGGCUGCUGGGCCUAUGAGGGGGACCUGAUGGAAGACACCAGCCCUCCAACUAUGUAACACAGGUGGGUCAAUACCUGGUGCUAUUCUCUCUCUACAGAAAUAUCUGGAGGAGAACUGGUGAGGGAAAUACAUUGGAGAGAAUGUGAAUUUUGUACAGUAUAUUUAAUUGUAGCGAGUGUCAGAAAUCACCCAAAUGUGCUGUUAAAGCUGUAACCUCCCUUCACUCUCUGGGCAGCAGAGGUCUUUAGAGUGUUUAGAAACCAGCAGGUGUUUAAUCUGUGUAUACAGAGACAGAUGCUGAGAUCCAACUGGACUGUGGAGUGAGUAGGAAGUUCAGCUGGCCUGCAGAGCAGCCAAGCCAAAUGAAGGGCUGGGCAGGGUCCCAUACAACAGUCAGCACAGAUGGCUGGUACCCGGCAUCUAAAUGCUUCCAACAGGGGAGAUUUCACCAUGCUUCUAGCCUCUUCUUUAUUUCACAUGCAUCUUUUUGUUAAACAACAUAAACUGUGUUUCUGUUGUAGAAACAUAAUAUAGAAUCCAAGUAGCAUGGAAGGUUCUUGAAUGGUAUUUUAGAGAGUAUGUUAUGAUUGACUAAGAGUUUAUAACCCAGAGAAUGAUUCUGAAGGACAGAAUAAUUAUUAGCUUUUUGGUUUGUUAGCAUGUUAACAAAUAAGAGGCAAAAUUGAAAUUUGGAUAUUUUGAGUUUUAAUGACCCUCUGGUGGACUUGUGUGUCCUGAGUGUACUUGUACACUAAAGAUCGGAUGUAAGGCAGUAUUCUUUACAAAAUGCCUAGCAGGAUGCCUUAUUUCAGAAGUAUAGAUCAUAACAAAGAGGAGGAUGUUUUACUCAUAAGCCCAUAGAAACGUGACGUCCUUGUUCUUGAAUUCUGUUUGACCUUUUCCUCCAUCUACUGAUUUAGCCUUUGUAUAACCCCUGUUAAGAAGCUUUCCAACUGCGUCCCUCACUUUGACAAAAAAGGAAGUAAACAUUCAAACUUUAAUUCUGGAAAGCUGAAACUUAGGAGGGGGAGUAGAAGGAAGGGGAGGAGGAGGCAGCAGGCCAGACCUUGAUGUUCAUUUCUGCUGCUUUGUGGAGGGAAGUGACUGCAGAUCUCUAAAACGGCACAAGUCACUUCUGAGCCGCUAGCCAGGUGUGCAUGUCUUGGAGGGCUUUUCUUUCAAGUACUGUAAUUUUCUUGUCCCUGGCUCCAUGCCCCUAAAAAGGCUUGCCUCAAAGGGUCAUACUCAGGAAGCAAAGACAAACACAGAGUAGGCUUCAUACGUGUUGCUGACCACAUACAGUCACCUUGGUUUAGGUCUCUGCCGCAAGUUCACCUUUGGAUUGCAUUUAUUAAACGCUUGCCUAUUGCAUGGUGUUAUUCUAGGACUCAGCACUAUUUACUGACCAGCCUUCAUCAACCACCUGCUACUAUGAGCAGCUCAUUUGUGGACUAGCAUAUUUCUCCUGGCUCUUAUGCCCCUGGAGUGCUGAAUCAGAGCUGGAAGCAGCCAACAUUUCUAAUUCCCUGUUUCCAACUGGACUUGACAGAUGAUAAAGUAAGUGUUUCAAAGGCAGAGAGGAGAAUUUCAUAGUAAGCAAUGAGAUAAAUGGACUAUAAGAUGCAGCCAAAUUACUUUCCUCUCUGAAGCAAGAUGUCUUGUCCAACAAGGCACUCUUCUCUCAGGCCUAGCAAACACCCACCAGAAGCAGUUCAUCUUUAGACACAGUAUCAAGGCCUUCCCUGCACAGGCAGUUUCUCCUUUUUCUGAUGUGCUGUUUUCUGUUUCUCUUGCUGAUAUAUCUUUAUUAACUUCAGAUUUCAUAAGGAUUCAAACUUUCAAAACUGAGUUGUGUUUCAAUUUCUAGGGAAGAGAUAGAAGGACACACACAAACAUGUGGCAUUUAUAUUCAGACUGUCCUGAUGGUCUGAGAAAGCAAGGUAGCAAGCAUGAGGAAGAAACAGGUGUUGACCAAGAAGGUUCUCAAUGGAGAGAUAGGCCAACGCUUCUAGGAAGCAGAGCACUGGAUUGCUCCACACUGCCAUACCAUGGCAGGCACUGGGCCUCCUGAGAAUGCCCACAGUUCCAGAGACUGUGACAAGGGAGGUCACGGCAGGUAUGGUCACCUCUUGGAGUCAAGUCAACCAUCAGUAAAUUGAAGAACCCACUAUUUUUAUAUUUUAAAAAGUCUAUAAGCAGCAACAGCAACAAGAAGAUGGUGUUCUGGAUCUCUGCAUUACUAGAAGGAAAAGAGAAAAAAAUUCAAAACUAUUUCUACUUGAGAGCUAAAAGCUGUUUCCUGUAAAUUUAACUCCAAAAUGAAAAUCAUGAGAAAAUGUUCUUCUCUCUGGAAAUUCUGCACACUGAAAUAUUUCUUUGCAGUGAAAAUUGGCCUAUUUUAUUCUAUCAAUAUGAUUAACCUUUCUAUAAACUUGUCCUAGGUGGAAAUUCAUUUUCUUUUCUAGCCAGAAAUGUUGUCAUUUAUGUAUCUAAAAACUAGUGUUAGUGGGAAGAAAGGACUUUUUUUUCCAGAACCUAAAAAUAGUUGCGCCACUUAAUUUUGAAAAAGCUUCUCAGUCAAGGCAAGUUUUCUGCUCCUUCAUAGCCCUGGGAUUACAUGCAUUUGCACCUGGGUUUCAUUUUUAAUUCUUUUCUUCCCUCUGUUUUUUCUUUGCUAUCAGCCAAUUUCUGUCCACAGAGCUCUGUGGACAAGAUCCUCCCUGUGAACCCAGGGGCAGAUCACAGAUUACUGAUUCUAGGAAAAUAUCCUUUCAAGUGUCAUGCAGAAACCUCUUGUUCAGAUACACCAUAUAACUCUUGAAUCUGUUAUUCCCAGAGAGUUAGAGCCUUUCCAGACACAUCUCACAUCAAGAUGCGAUAUCCAGGGGAGCAUAUAGAGCCAGCUGUCAACCCUCUUCCUUCCUCCACUGGAAGGACUGCCUUUCCCAUCUCCAUGCCUUCCUCUAGAAGCAGCAUGGGCUCCUGUGUGGUCUUGACCACUAAAAAAGUCCCGACAACCAUGUUGAUACGAAGGAGACAGCAGAUAUACCCCGCCCCUUCUGCAUUUCAGUAAAAUGAGUAGGGCAAGACUAAAUAAAAGGAAUGGCUGUAAUAGUGGAACUUGGCAAAUUAGUGGAGGAUACAAUUAAGAACAGAAUCUUCCAGAUACUGCUCAAAUCAUUCCCUAUGGGAAAAUAUCUUGGAACAUCUAAGAAUAUGUGCCACAAAAUAAAAGGGAAUAAAAUGUCUCUACUGAAUCAUUCUUUACUGAGAGAAAUAAGCUCUUAUACAGUGACAAUAACAAUAAUCAUAGUUAACAUUUAUUAAGCAUUUACUAUGUGCCAUGCACUCUAAAGGCUUUCCACGGAUUAAUCCUACAACCACCUCAGAAAGUAAAUAUUUUUAUUAUCUCCAUUUUACAGAUGAGGAAACUGAGGCACAGAGUGGUUUAGCAACUUGCCCAAGAUCACAUAGUCAGCAAGUGGCAAAAAAACGUAAUCUGAACUCGGUCUAAUUCCAGCACUUGAAUUCUUGACAAGAAACCAUGCAGCCACACACAGCCACAAAUACACAUACCACCUAAAGGCACACGAGUGUGCCAAACAUGCAUUGCACUGCUUUCCUCACAUCACAACUUGUAUUUUACUUCGUUUUCCCUUCAUAUAUUUUGCCCUCACUAAGUCUCCAUUGUUAGAAUUUACAUCACUCAGAUCCAAAGGGCUAUAAAGUGACAUGAGAUGGGGUAGGCUAGGGAAGGAGAAAGGAGAUGCAAUCCAUUCUUAAAGACCUCUAACUAUCUGCUUCGGUUUCUUGAAACAACAGCUUCUUAAGAGUAGGGCUUGUUCUUUGGAUUAUUUACUAAAUCUGUAUAUCCAUUUCUUGAGGUCCUUACAAAAUAGUAGUAAAAAGAAUGGAUGAUACACCUGACACUUGGGGAGUUUACAGGAUUUUCUCAGCAAAAGACUUAAAAAUAUUAUGUGGUAUUACUUAUUUCUAGAAAAACCUGUUUAAGAAAAAAAAGAUCACUGAUCUAAGCAUAGAGACAAAAUGAUUCAUCAGUAGGGUGAUAUAUAUUACUUAUAUUAAUAUAUACUUAUGUAUUUGCACAUGAAUGUGUGCAAAUAAUAUAAUAUAAUUAGUAUAAUGGAGUAAAUUCACCUAUCUUUGAAUGCCAGAACGCAAAAUUUAAAGUUACUAUAUUAGCAAAUGCAAACUUUCAUCAAUUAUACUCAUGAAAGUAGAAAAAGUGAGAGCACCUAUGUUUAAAUAGUGGGAGCAAAACUUAUAACCUCCUGUAUUGCUGAUGGCAGUGCAAACUGAGAAGCAAUAAUAUUCAUAUUCUUUGACAUUCUCAGUAAUCUCCUAUCUGAUAAUUUACUAAAAGGAAGUAAUCCAAAAGAUGGGAAGCCAGACUUGCAUCACAAUUAUUAUUCAUAAUAUAAAAAUUGAAAAUGACCUAAAUGUUAUUAUAACUUAAUGGCUCAUUAAGUUAUAGUGCAUCAACUUGAUUGAAUGGUAGGCAGCAACUUCCUAUCGUUGCCAAAAGAUUGUGGAGUUAUAAAAAUGCUUAAAGUAUAAUGCUGAGCAAAAAACUCUUUAAUAAAAAUUGUUUCUGUGCUUUGACUACAACUGCAUAAUAGUAUUUUAUGAAUGUUAACAGAUUUUUUUUGUUUUAUGCUUUCUAUGUUACAACUUUGAUGAAUCAAUAAAAAAAUUCUUACGUUUGAAUAGAUCCUCCUCUCUUAAGUUAAUCAUGGAGUGACUUGAAAUUGCAGGAAAAAAUUUUUAAAAAACUCGUGUGUGUUUGGAGAAAGCAUGCUUUUGGACUAGCUAUAUAUGCUGACUAUGCCCAACCUUCUACUUUAGCCAAACAGUGACAAUUCAUAUUCGUGGUAUGAGGGCAAUACUUGCUACCUUGCCAUGUCAGAUA